AUAUAUUUUAAAAAAAAAAAAAAAAAAAAAAAAAAAAAAUCACUCCAUAAUUUUGAUGUUGGCCUGACUAGGGGUUUUUAACUUUUUGUUCUGUCUCUGACACUGUUCACGUGUACAAUACACUCCUGCUAGUAAGUUCUAUCAUUAUGUGCACUGAUUCUCAAUUGGGAGGGAGUUAGGGGCUUAUGUAUAUGGGACAAAACCUCUUUGGAGAGUCCUGAGAGCCCCUCUUGAGCAGGCCUGCCCCUUAUUUGGGAAUCACUGUUUUAGAUUAAGGAACAAACACUCCCAACGUCUAGAAUCAGUAUAAGGAAGUGGUCCCUCUGGUCAGUAACAAGUGCCAUGGGAAGGAAACUAUCCCUUACUUUCUUUCCCCAGUUUUUACUGCUCUUUCAGUUGGCCUUUCUGUGAACUCAGAGGACUCCUUGAGGGAGGAUUUGGGCGGGUAGGACUAAGAAGGCGGCUUUUGCUGAUAAACUCAGAGCCUCAAGGGGCCCAGCCACGUCAAACUCCCCUCCAUCAGGGACCUUCCAGCACCAGGAGGAAGGCGGAAACGCUUUUCCCACCAGAGCCCUGUGUUUUGUUCCAAGGUCUCACUGUGGCACCUCUCAUACGUGCUCUUUCAUAAGUCCACAGGGCCAGCAGAUACUGUCAAGUUCAGCGUUGUGUUCAGUCAAGGUGAUGGAGCCAGGGCAAGCAGCUUAGUUGAGUUAGAAACAACACACGAGUGACAUGUUCUACAUCCCUAAGAGCUGAAUGCCAACAAACAUACCAACUGUUUCUAAAGUUGCCUAAUGUCCUUUCCCCACUGAAAAUACCCUGCCCUUCUAACCCUCCCAGGUUCGUGUGGCAUGGUCCGAUGUUCCCAGAACAUCAGGAAAUACAGUGCUUUUGCUCCUUUAUCCUUCACCCCUUGUUCACAAGCUGUCCACUGCUCUGCCUUCUUUUACUCCUCUGCCUUGAUGGUUUGGAUGCUGCCUCCUCCUCCCUAUUUCUGUGCCCAUUUGAAGCUGCUGCUGCCUCUAUUUCUGGGAAAGACCUUUCGGAGCCUGGCUCAGGCCUCUCUUUAAGUGCUGUGUUUGGUACCAGCAUUUCAUCUUUAGCUUUUAUACGUGAUUGUGCUGUCAUUCUGUCUUAAGCUAAUGGAUCAGUGGACUUGUUUACAAUAUUUUCUAUUAAAUCCAGUAUUUUCAAGUAAAA